GUCUAGCGAACAGACGUAAAAAUGGGAAACGCCUCCUAAAUAUAUUGUACAAACUUGCAAUGCUGGAAUUCCCCACCUGUGGUGCAGGCAGGUGUGGAGUUUCAGGUGCAAGGGA
rnacentral:ncRNA from 16 species